CCUACGGGUGACAGCAGUGGGGAAUAUUGGGCAAUGGGCGCAAGCCUGACCCAGCAACGCCGCGUGAAGGAAGAAGGCUUUCGGGGUGUAAACUUCUUUUGUCAGGGAAGAGUAGAAGACGGUACCUGACGAAUAAGCCACGGCUAGCUACGUGCCAGCAGCUGCGGUCAUACGUAGGUGGCAGGCGUUGUCCGGAUUUACUGGGUGUAAAGGGCGUGUAGCCGGGUUGACAAGUCCGAUGUGAAAUCCUGCGGCUUAACCGCAGAACUGCAUUUGAAACUGUUGAUCUUGAGUACUGGAGAGGCAGACGGAAUUCGUAGUGUAGCGGUGAAAUGCGUAGAUAUUAGGAGGAACACCAGUGGCGAAGGCGGUCUGCUGGACAGCAACUGACGGUGAGGCACGAAAGCGUGGGGAGCAAACAGGAUUAGAUACCCGGGUAGUC
rnacentral:rRNA from 1 species